ACUUCGGUCUGCUACCUCUUACCCAUGUCUUUUGAGUACCUUCGUUUCCUCGGCGGGUCCGCCCGCCGAUUGGACAACAUUCAAACCCUUUGCAGUUGCAAUCAGCGUCUGAAAAAACAUAAUAGUUACAACUUUCAACAACGGAUCUCUUGGUUCUGGCAUCGAUGAAGAACGCAGCGAAAUGCGAUAAGUAGUGUGAAUUGCAGAAUUCAGUGAAUCAUCGAAUCUUUGAACGCACAUUGCGCCCCUUGGUAUUCCAUGGGGCAUGCCUGUUCGAGCGUCAUUUGUACCUUCAAGCUCUGCUUGGUGUUGGGUGUUUGUCUCGCCUCUGCGUGUAGACUCGCCUUAAAACAAUUGGCAGCCGGCGUAUUGAUUUCGGAGCGCAGUACAUCUCGCGCUUUGCACUCAUAACGACGACGUCCAAAAGUACAUUUUUACACUCUUGACCUCGGAUCAGGUAGGGAUACCCGCUGAACUUAAGCAUAUCAAUAA
rnacentral:rRNA from 1 species